rnacentral:lncRNA from 1 species
GCCUCACGCUGAUGAGCAACUGAACUGUGACCAGGAAUACUAUGAACAAUUAAACAGCAUGGCGGGGCAUUUGUCCUUAGCCGUGACUACAGAGCGACAGCCCACAUGCAUACUGCUGUGCCUGAGUUCUGCUUAGUAACCCCCGGCUACACACUAGCCUGCCAGGCUGCCAGAUGUUUCUCCAUGCAGCAAAUCAUGUCCUUGUUAAAAAGUCAAGGAUGAAGUAUGGAGGGAAAGCCAUGAAUUCGUCAAACUACUGAACCAGAAGAUGUGGGCACAUUGCCCAGAAAUCAGAGCUGUAACAAGCUCCCCGAGAGAUGACCAUGACCACCGCAUGAUGGCCGCUUUGGCUGCAGCACCAGAUAGAGCACACGUCCCACGUAUCAAAUGUCCAUUUUCUGGAGAAUUUGCACCUUGGGUGGUUUCUACCUCUCCACAUCCAACUCGCUGAGACCUGUUCAGUCAAGUGCGAUGGAAUGAAUUCAUAUCUCCACCAUUUGCCUGAAGACCAGGCGUGCCAACCACAUCGCUGCUCUAUAUUGCAGAACAGAGAUUUCCCUUUAAACAGAGGAUGGUGCAGAUCCUUCUGAUGCCCGAGAUGACACUUCAAAGGCCAGCAUCUCCCAGGAGCCUGUGGGUAAUGAGCUACCCCAUGCCUCUACUCUGAAAGACAUGUCACUGGAUGAAGUGGAGUUUCCUAGCUAUCCCUGAAUCCAGGAAUCAGCUGCCUGUGGUUGUGUCACCCGUACUGUAUCUGCCCUUUACAGUCCCGAGCUUUAGAAGUCCGUGUCUAGAAAAUACGGCUUUGUGCUGGUGAGUAUAUGUUUGUGUGUGUCUGUACAGAUGCUGCUUCCUAACAUGUCAAGUUCUGUUUGGCUUUGGCAGCUAUGGCCCCAAGUGCCUCCCACUCAACCACGCUCUUUUAAUGUGCAUGUGUAAGAGUGCUGGGGGCUGGAGAGAUGGCUCCGUGGUUAACGGGGUUUCUGCAGGGGUUCCUGCAGAGGACCUGAGUUCAGUCCCCAGCACCCAUAUGAGGGUUGCUAACUAUAUGUAACAGACUAUCUGAUCCCACUUCUGGUCUCCCCAGGCACCAGUCAGCACAAGAUAGAUAGAUACAAGCAAAAACAAAAACACAAAACUCCACUCAUAAAUAAAAUAAAUACUUGAAA